rnacentral:rRNA from 1 species
AUGCGAGCAAACGGCUCCAAAUGGAGUCUCUCUACGGUCUAUGGACCGCAAUCUGAUCAGGAGAAGUUUCUUUUUAUCAAUGAGCUCAAGAGCAUCAAGCCUUCUACUCUUCCCUGUUGGCUUGUGAUUGACGAUUUCAACCUGUUGUAUCGGGCAUCAGACAAGAGCAACUCCAAUAUCAACCGACGCCUGGUGAACUCCUUCCGAGCUGCCGUAAACUCACUGGAGCUGUCUGAAUUGCGCCUUCAUGGCCGGCGCUUCACCUGGACCAGCAGCUGCCAGCAACAAACUAGAACAAAGAUCGACCACGCUUUCUGCUCAGCUGACUGGAAUACCAUGUUCCCUCAGUGCCAUCUAUCUGCUGUCACUUCGUCCGUGUCUGAUCAUUGUGCCUUUGUUCUAACCGGGCAAGUUCGGCAUCAAAGAUAUCGAGGUUUCAAAUUUGAGCAAUACUGGUUGCGCCUCCAUGGAUUCCAGGAUCUUGUCGCCAACUACUGGGCGAAGCCAGUAAACAAUAGCGAUGCCAUGCGUGUCCUGCACAUUAAGUUAUCAAGGUUAGGUAAAGCUCUGCGCCUUUGGAGCAGGAUAAGAGUUGGGAACAUCAAGCUACUAACUGAGAUCACUAAUUAG